CUUCACAGGAGUGUACCGUACAGUCGGAACUCCAGCGGAGACCAUCACUGCGCUGGACCACCAGGAGGAAGCAGCCUCUUUUACCUCUGAUUGGAAACAAUCACCCUGAUCGAUCAGCUGGAUUUACUGAAGCACCCAUCGAUUAAUUCCUGGGACGCGUAAAAGAGGAUUAAAUGUUACAGCAAUGUCACACAUGGAGGAGCUCUAUUUCUUGUUAUUUUUCUAAGUCUAACUGGAUGAUGGCAGCGUAUGAAGGAUUUAGCACUCCUGUUUGGAGUCGUCCUGUUGGAUUUAAGGAAAUAAUGCUGUCUCUGACGCGGGAUGAGUGGUGUCCAUUACUCAGCUGCUGGACAAGCUGUUUGGCGGACAGGGGAGUCCCAUGGGAUACUUUACGCGUGUACAAGUGUAGCCAGUGUCACACACCGCCAGGUUUUGGGGGAUUAAUAUUUGUGCCUGUUAAUUUCAAAACAAGGAAAGGAAUAUCCUGGGAUGUAUGUUUGGAGCGAUGCUCUGAAGAAGUUUUGCAAUUUGGAUAAUGUCAUCUCAUCCAGAAGUGAGUGAUUCCAAAUUCUGGGAUUGAGAUGUCAACUGUAUAUAACUUCCCAGGUCUCUUUCGAUGAUCUCAGGUGUGCGUUGAGAAGAGGCUGACUAAUGGAAACAUGAUCUCAAAGGAUUCAGCAGGAUCCAACUAAAUCCUGGAUUGGACUUUGGACCAGCAUCCCCGGCAGCAGAUGUUCGCUCCUGGCAUGACUGCAAACAGCAUGAGCUCCAUCCCACUGACAAUCUCACUGUCAGGAUCCAGCACAGGCAGUUUGGACUUGGAGGAGCUGUGACAUAAAAUCAGCAGGACAUUGGAGUUGGUUCUGCCUUUGAGACUUCAUGGAACAGAUCAGUCAAGUCUUUCUGGAAAGGUGCUUGAUGAGGAACUCAGCUCCGUGGAUGCACAUUUAACACAAUGGAUCUACAAGUUAUUUGAUUUUCUUUUAACUGACCUUGGAUUACCUGUGUUUACAUCUGCCCUGGAUGAAGAAUCAACAAGUGCUGGAACUGCAAAUUAAAAGUAAUCAGGUGUUGUUUUAAAUUUCAGUUGUGUUUUGUUAGUGUAAAUUAAUUCAUGCAAAUGUGAUCUAGAUCCCUCAGAGGGAUUAGUCAAUCAUUUGAAGUGGACUUCUCCUUGACAUCUUGUAAUUGAGAUCACAAAGGAGCCAUUGUAAUCAAGGCGCAAACCAAAACCUGUCCUAUUGACACUUCAUAUCAUUAUGACACAUUGGCAGCCUGUGUUAAUAUUGGUUAAUAACCCUGUCAAACUUCUACUGGCAUGAUUAAUUGCCCCAUAACUUUUGUUGUGUCUGUAAAAGCCUGUUAUCAAUAUUAAAUAAA